rnacentral:lncRNA from 1 species
GAAGGGAACAGUUACUGGGAGGAAGAAAAUUCAAAGGGUAAAGGUAAUAGGGGGAUAAUUAUGGUGAUGGAACAUAAAUUGAAGAGGAAAUAAGGAGGAUAGGAAAAGGAUCCCAGUAAGGACACAGUUAGCUUUCAGUGGCAAAGUUCCUGGGAAGCAAACGAGGUGAUUAUUUGCAAUGACAAUAAAUGCACAAACACACAAACAGAUAAAAGGUUAGAGGGGGCACCUUCUCUGGUAAGGCCACAACAGUAGGUGGCAACAAGGGGAAGCCUGGUGCGCAGUCCUUGACAGCGAGAGAAACCUGGAGAAGGUGACAAGGAGGAGCUGUGGGGAAUAUCCCUCAGCAGCCACGACGGCACCGGGAUCACCGGGCAAUUUCUCUAGGUAGAACCAAAGAGCUCCUGGACAGACCUGAAUGUCACUGGGGCUGCGGGGAUUGCUGGGAUACAAGAAGCUGAAAGGCGGCGGCACAGAGAAGGACAGGGAGAACAGAAGGCAGGUGAACACCCGAAAACAGUGACCAGUGAAGUUAUGGACAAAAGCUCAUGGGAAGAAGGGAGCAGAGCCCUGGGACAAGCAGGGCCUGGGGCGGCUGGGGAAGGCAGUCUCGGGGCCGGAGCGGCGGGAGGACAGGCCCGAGGGGCCGGGAGGGAAAGGCAGGGGCAGCCACCGUGGCGGGCCCGGCCAUGCGGGGGCCGCGGUCAGGGGGGAGGGCAGGGAGGCGGAAAGGAGGCCCAGGCCGGAGCGGGAGGCAGAGAGGGCGCGGGCAGGCUGGCCGGCGGGCAGGUCUGGCGGGGCCGGGGCAGCCGGGCAGCGGCGGGGCGGGCUCUCGCCCCGAGGAGGGCGACGGAUUUCGAAUGCGCAGUUAGCGGCCUCCCGGCCCCGACCCGGCCCGCGGCUCCCGGGGCCGGAUCCGCGAGCGAGCCGGACAACAACCCCCGCCGCCUCCCUCGCUCCAGAGCCAGGGUUGCAUUGUGAUUUGUGUACCCUUUAAAGAGGCAAGGCACAGUUCUCUGCCUUCAGUUGUGAUGGCGGUAACUCAGUUGGCACUCUGAAAAGGUAGGCCAUGAAAAAAUCCUCCCUACAUGAUUUAAACAUGAUGCAUAACAUGGCUCAUUCAUACAUCCAUUGAA